UACGUAGGGGGGCGAGCGUUGUCCGGAGUUACUGGGCGUAAAGACGCACGCAGGCGGUCUGCUAAGUUUGGAGUGACAGUUGGUGGCUUAACUGCCAAAGUGCUUCGAAAACUGACAGACUUGAGGGCUUCAGAGGGACACGGAAUUCCGGGUGGAGUGGUGAAAUGCGUAGAGAUCCGGAAGAACACCGGUGGCGAAGGCGGUCUGCUGGGCAGUUGCUGACACUGAGGCGCGACAGCGUGGGGAGCAAACAGG
rnacentral:rRNA from 1 species